UGGGAUAUAGCUCAGAUGGUAGUAGCACACGACUGUUAAUCGUGGUGUCGUGGGUUCGAUCCCCACUAUCCCAG
rnacentral:tRNA from 1 species